UACACAUCUUCCUGGUGUAUGUUUGUGGAUUUUAGAAUAAGUAAUUUCCUUCAACCGUUUGGCUCCGGAAUCGAGACUAACCAUGGCUCAAAAGGAACGUAAUGUUGAUAGUGGUAUUUUUGAUGGUGAGGAAUGUGCUAAAAUUGAAAAAUCAUCAUCGAAAUCAAAAGGAUCUGGAAUAUUUCGUACAAUAUCUAAAAAAUUUGGAUUUAGUAACAGAAAAACUCCCUCAAAGUCGACAGUUUCUACCAAGAAUCCCAGUAAAAGAAGCUCUCCUUCUCAGUCUUCAAGAAAAUCGUUAAACUAUUCUCCCCACUCCCUCCUUCAAACCAAGGACUCGGUUAUGAUUGGGCCUCAAUGUGAAACACACGAAAUGAAAGAAGCACCUGUCUCAGCUCCACUUAUGAGAAAGAAAAUGUUCUCUAAUUUAAGCACUUCAGG